UACGUAGGUGGCAAGCGUUGUCCGGAUUUACUGGGCGUAAAGAGCGCGCAGGCGGUCGAUCAAGUCGCGUGUGAAAGCCCCCGGCUCAACUGGGGAGGGUCACGCGAUACUGAUCGACUCGAAGGCAGGAGAGGGUAGUGGAAUUCCCGGUGUAGUGGUGAAAUGCGCAGAUAUCGGGAAGAACACCCGUGGCGAAGGCGGUUCUCUGGGACGGUACUGGACGGCUGAGACGCGAAAGCGUGGGGAGCAAACAGG
rnacentral:rRNA from 1 species